rnacentral:rRNA from 1 species
GACGAGGGGUCCUAGCGUUGUUCGGAAUUACUGGGCGUAAAGGGCGCGUAGGCGGUCCUCUAAGUCUUGUGUGAAAUCCCUCGGCUCAACUGAGGAACUGCACGGGAUACUGGAAGACUUGAGUUCGGGAGAGGGAAGCGGAAUUCCGGGUGUAGCGGUGAAAUGCGUAGAUAUCCGGAGGAACACCGGUGGCGAAGGCGGCUUCCUGGACCGAUUACUGACGCUGAGGCGCGAAAGCUAGGGGAGCAAACGGG